rnacentral:rRNA from 1 species
AUUGAACGCUGGCGGCAUGCUUUACACAUGCAAGUCGAACGGCAGCGCGGGCUUCGGCCUGGCGGCGAGUGGCGAACGGGUGAGUAAUGCAUCGGAACGUGCCCAGUAGUGGGGGAUAGCCCGGCGAAAGCCGGAUUAAUACCGCAUACGACCUGAGGGUGAAAGCGGGGGACCGAAAGGCCUCGCGCUAUUGGAGCGGCCGAUGUCGGAUUAGCUAGUUGGUGGGGUAAAGGCUUACCAAGGCGACGAUCCGUAGCUGGUCUGAGAGGACGACCAGCCACACUGGAACUGAGACACGGCCCAGACUCCUACGGGAGGCAGCAGUGGGGAAUUUUGGACAAUGGGGGCAACCCUGAUCCAGCCAUGCCGCGUGCGUGAAGAAGGCCUUCGGGUUGUAAACCGCUUUUGUUCGGGAAGAAAUCCUCUGGGCUAAUACCCCGGGGGGAUGACGGUACCGGAAGAAUAAGCACCGGCUAACUACGUG